GAAAUGUGAUACUUGGUGUGAAUUGUAGAAUCCCAUGAACCAUCGAGUCUUUGAAUGCAAGUUGUGCCCGAAGCCAUUAGGUCGAGGGCACGUCUGCCUGGGUGUCACACAAUGUCGCCACCAACCCUCCCCGGGGUGUGGCGAAGGAUAGCUUCCCGGGAGCC
rnacentral:rRNA from 1 species